GACGUAGGGCGCGAGCGUUGUCCGGAAUCAUUGGGCGUAAAGCGCGUGUAGGCGGCCCGAUAAGUCCGCUGUGAAAGUCCAGGGCUCAACCCUGGGAUGCCGGUGGAUACUGUCGGGCUCGAGUCCGGAAGAGGCGAGUGGAAUUCCUGGUGUAGCGGUGAAAUGCGCAGAUAUCGGGAGGAACACCAGUAGCGAAGGCGGCUCGCUGGGCCAUUCCUGACGCUGAGACGCGAAAGCUAGGGGAGCGAACAGG
rnacentral:rRNA from 1 species